rnacentral:rRNA from 1 species
UCGAGUGCCAGGUUACAAAUCUGGCUGUCGUGAUGCCUAAAAAGCAUUAUAUAGCAAGGGCCGGGCAAGACCGGUGCCAGCCGCCGCGGUAACACCGGCGGCUCGAGUGGUAACCGUUAUUAUUGGGUCUAAAGGGUCUGUAGCCGGCCGGAUAAGUCUCUUGGGAAAUCUGGCAGCUNAACUGUCAGGCUUUCAGGGGAUACUGUCUGGCUCGAGGCCGGGAGAGGUGAGAGGUACUUCAGGGGUAGGGGUGAAAUCUUGUAAUCCUUGAAGGACCACCAGUGGCGAAGGCGUCUCACCAGAACGGACCUGACGGCAAGGGACGAAAGCUAGGGGCACGAACCGGAUUAGAUACCCGGGUAGUCCUAGCCGUAAACGAUACUCGCUAGGUGUCGGCCACGGUGCGACCGUUGUCGGUGCCGUAGGGAAGCCGUGAAGCGAGCCACCUGGGAAGUACGGCCGCAAGGCUGAAACUUAAAGGAAUUGGC